GGAGCACAAUGUAUGAAGAAUCCACCAACCCUCAACUCAGCUUCUGGAGUUGGAGAUUUACAAGAGAUUGGAGGGCUUAGCAGCUAUGUUAGUGGAUCUAUUCAUUCCAAACUUGCAAUUCUUCUCAUUUCUGAUGUAUUUGGAUAUGAAGCGCCACUUUUGAGGAAGUUAGCUGAUAAAGUUGCAGCUUCAGGGUACUUGGUGGUUGUUCCUGAUUUCUUCUAUGGUGAACCUUUGGAUCGCGAGAAACAUGACGUACAGACAUGGCUCAAAGAUCAUGGCAUUGACAAAGGAUGUGAAGAUGCUAAAGUAGUGGUUGAAUCUUUGAAGAGUAAAGGUGUUUCCGCGAUAGGGGCAGCAGGCUUUUGCUGGGGAGGAAUGGUAGUUUCUAAAUUGGCGAAAUACGAGAGUACUAUUGAUGCUGCAGUUAUCUUGCAUCCUGGUCCUAUAACAGUUGAUGACAUAAAUGAGGUAAAAGUUCCAAUUGCAAUAUUAGCAGCUGAACAUGACCAUAUUUUCCCUCCUGACCAAGCAAAGCUACUAGGCAAUGCUUUAUCCGCGAAACCUGAGAUUGAAAGCUUUGUGAAGAUAUUUCCAGGGGUAGAGCAUGGAUGGACAGUUCGAUACAACGUUGAGGAUGAACCGGCUGUCAAAGCUGCAGAAGAAUCUCACACAGAUAUGUUAAACUGGUUUACUAAGUUCAUCAAGUGAAAACAAAGAAAGUACUAAAUUAAAACAUCAUUUUUCAGAUGAGGAGAUUGUCAUAAUUCCUCGAGGGAAGUGAAAAUAUGUCACAAUAAGUACACUGCAUUUUGCUGUUAUAAAGAUGAAAUCAAGAUUAUGGUUUUAGCUUAUGAUGUAUAUUUCUCUCAACCCCGCCCCCCAUUAUCGGUUAAAACCUAAGGGUG
rnacentral:misc_RNA from 1 species